CGCGGCCCCUCCGCCCUCCUCCCUCCCUCCCUCCUCCUGCUCCUUCCCUUCCUCCUCCUCCUCGGGCUCCAACCCCGCUUCCUCUCGGCCCUCCCUUAUCUCUCGACACCUUCUCUAUCUCUUCUCACUCACGGUGUCUCCCCGCCCCUCCGGGCCCGCGCCCGUCGGGGUGGGGAGGGCGGGGGCCCGGACGGAAGGGCACCGCGGGGGAGGGGGAGGAGGAGGAGGACAGGACAGGGGGUAUUUUUAACCAGGGGCAGCGGCUCGAGUUGCAGGGCCGGGCGGCCUCACCCCGCGCGGCGGCCCCGGAGGGCAUUCCCGGGAGUCCGGCCCGGCGGCGCCGCCUCCCGCAGCCCCGGUUUACAGGUGAGGAAAACUGAGGCCUAAGAGAGUGCAACUUGCUGAACCCCUUCAACUGGAUACCAAAUACACGUGAUUGGUCCACACCAACUCUCCAACACCGUCUAGGUGCCUACAAUUCAAUUCUGAUACUAAUUCCCAGAGUUAGCACAGACCCCAUGGGUUACGGGCUCAGUUCCACAAGAUGCCAGCCACAAAGGGAAUGCCAAGGUGACCCAUACUCCUGUCUAGCUGAGUACAUAUUUGGGGAUGCCUACAACCCUCCUCCUCAGGCCUGAUAAUUCAGAACACUCUUAGAACUCAGGAAAGUGCUUUGCUUACUGUUACCAGUUUAUUAUAAAGGAUACAACUCAAGAGCAGCCAAACAGAAGAGAUUCAUAGGGCAAGAUAUGGGGGGAAGGGGAGCCACCCUCCCCCCAAACUACAAAUCUCCAGUGUCCCGCCCCUCCUGGAGGAAAGGCUGGAAGCUGAAAGUUCCCACCUUAUAGAUCAGCUUUUCUGGUGACAGCUCCCAUCCUGAGUAACCUCAUUAGCAUAAACUCAGGUGUGAGCCAAAGGGGGUCGUUAUGAAUAACAAAAGACAUGCCUGUAACUCUGGAAAUUCCAAGCGUUUUAGGAGCUCUGUGGCAGGAACCAAGGACAAAGACCAAAUAUAUAUUUUUUUAUUAUGCCACAUUUGGUUUUAUACAUUUAGAUUCUUUCUCUGGAAGGACAUGAGUUAUCCCUUUCACUGCUUUCAGGAAGGGGAACCAGGCGGCUGGGAGUCAAGGGUGGGAGGUGACUCUUGGUUCAAAAUUCAAAACAUACAUGUGAAUAUAUUACAUAUUUGAAAAACUCUUAAAAAUACUUCACAAUCCUUGUUUUGACUUCUAAUAUCUGCACCCUCCAGGCUUUACCACCACGCUUCUUGGGAGCCACUCAGAGCAGGCUGGGGAAUCACGUCCAGAUUCCUCUGCCAUCUGACCCUCUAGACUUCUGU